rnacentral:lncRNA from 1 species
CCCUCGUGCCUAGGCACAUUGCCUUGCGACAUGCAAGCUUUGUGCCUUCGGCAUCCCCUUUGCCUUCGGCACCCCCGUGCCUAGCUCUAUUGUCUUGCAACAUGCAAGUCUUAUGCCUUCGGCACCCUCGUGCCUAGGCCCAUCACCUUGCGACAUGCAAUUCUUAUGCCUUCGGCACCCUCGUGCCUAGGCACAUUGCCUUGCGACAUGCAAGCUUUGUGCCUUCGGCAUCCCCUUUGCCUUCGGCACCCCCGUGCCUAGCUCUAUUGUCUUGCAACAUGUAAGUAUUAUGCCUUCGGCACCCUCGUGCCUAGGCCCAUCACCUUGCGACAUGCAAUUCUUAUGCCUUCGGCACCCUCGUGCCUAGGCACAUUGCCUUGCGACAUGCAAGCUUUGUGCCUUCGGCAUCCCCUUUGCCUUCGGCACCCCCGUGCCUAGCUCCAUUGUCUUGCAACAUGCAAGUCUUAUGCCUUUGGCACCCUUGUGCCUAGGCCACAUCGCCUUGCAACAUGCAAGCUUUGUGCCUUCAGCACCCUCGUGCCCAGCCACAUUGCCUUAUGACAUGCAAGCUUCAUGUCUCCUUCGGCAUUCUCUUUGUCUUUGGCACCCCCGUGCCUAAACACAUUGCCUUGCAAACAUGCAAGCUUAGUGUCACCUUCAGCACCCUCGUGCCUAAGCCCAUCGCCUUGACACAUGCAAUUCAUAUGCCUUCGGCACCCUCGUGCCCAACCACAUUACCCUGAGACAUGCAACUUUGUCCCUUCGGCAACCCCUUCACCUUCGGCACCCUCGUGCCAAGUUCUCUCCCUUCCAGAUGUCCUUCUUACCCGGGGACUUGGGGGACUAUGGGUAGUGCACUAUACAGCUUGGAAGAUGAACUAUGGUGUUGCUCGGCCAGUGUACUUAAAAUUACAAGUCCCCAACCAAGAAGUAUCUUCUUACUUGAGAACUUAGGGGACUACUGUUUGUACCAUAACUGACCGAGCAACUAGUUAGGCUAGAUCAUUCGAGUGCCAUGCUUUGAGAGGUCAUCACCUUAGCCAAAGACGCAUCA